UGAGGAACAUGACCUUCGGCGGGGGAUAGCCGGCCCAACGGCCGGGUAAUACCGCGUGCGACCACUUUGGGACAUCCCUGGGUGGUGAAAGCAGCAAUGCGCCGAUGGAGUGCCUCGCGGCCUAUCAGCUAGUUGGUGAGGUAACGGCUCACCAAGGCGACGACGGGUAGCUGGUCUGAGAGGAUGGCCAGCCACAUUGGGACUGAGACACGGCCCAGACUCCUAGGAGG
rnacentral:rRNA from 1 species